AACGAACGCUGGCGGCAUGCCUAACACAUGCAAGUCGAACGAAGGCUUCGGCCUUAGUGGCGCACGGGUGAGUAACGCGUGGGAACCUGCCCUUUGGUACGGAAUAACAUCGGGAAACUGAUGCUAAUACCGUAUAUGGCUUUGGCUGAAAGAUUUAUCGCCGAAGGAGGGGCCCGCGUCUGAUUAGCUGGUUGGUGAGGUAAUGGCUCACCAAGGCGACGAUCAGUAGCUGGUCUGAGAGGAUGAUCAGCCACACUGGGACUGAGACACGGCCCAGACUCCUACGGGAGGCAGCAGUGGGGAAUAUUGGACAAUGGGGGCAACCCUGAUCCAGCAAUGCCGCGUGAGUGAUGAAGGCCUUCGGGUUGUAAAGCUCUUUUGGCAGGGACGAUGAUGACGGUACCUGCAGAAUAAGCCCCGGCUAACUUCGUGCCAGCAGCCGCCGUAAAAC
rnacentral:rRNA from 1 species